AAGAACACAACAGUCUUCACUAGACCAUUAGGUGUGAUAACCAAGGGCAGUUCAGUGACUCUGACCUGCAGCAGUGAUGCCAACCCACCAGUGGAGAUCUACACCUGGUUUAAGGUGAAUGAGUCCACUCCAGUAGGAUCAGGACAGCAGUACAGCAUCACUAACAUCAGAUCUGAAGAUGGAGGACAGUACUACUGUGAGGCCAGGAAUAAAUAUGGAGCUGGGAUAUCAUCUAUUGUGUCAGUCAUAGUUGAAGGAGAUCAAUCUUCUGUAUUGAUUCCCGUGGUGGCCGUCUCUGUCUGUGGACUUGUGUGUCUGCUGUGUGCUUUUGUUGGGGUGAAGAAAAUGAAAAUGAGAAAGAAAGCAGAGGAUCAG